CCUACGGGAGGCAGCAGUGAGGAAUAUUGGUCAAUGGGCGGAAGCCUGAACCAGCCAAGUAGCGUGCAGGAUGACGGCCCUACGGGUUGUAAACUGCUUUUAUCCGGGAAUAACGCGCCUUACGUGUAGGGCUUUGCAUGUACCGUAUGAAUAAGGACCGGCUAAUUCCGUACCAGCAGCCGCGGUAAGACGGAAGGUCCGGGCGUUAUCCGGAUUUAUUGGGUUAAAGGGGAGCGUGGGCCGCAUUUAAAGCGUGAUUUGAAAUGUCCGGGCUCAACCCGGGCCUUGCAGGGCGAAUGGGCGUCCUGAGGUCCGCAGAAAGGAGUAGGAAUUCGGGUGG
rnacentral:rRNA from 1 species